CACUGUUUCGGCAAGGGGGUCAUCCCGACUUACCAACCCGAUGCAAACUGCGAAUACCGGAGAAUGUUAUCACGGGAGACACACGGCGGGUGCUAACGUCCGUCGUGAAGAGGGAAACAACCCAGACCGCCAGCUAAGGUCCCAAAGUCAUGGUUAAGUGGGAAACGAUGUGGGAAGGCCCAGACAGCCAGGAUGUUGGCUUAGAAGCAGCCAUCAUUUAAAGAAAGCGUAAUAGCUCACUGGUCGAGUCGGCCUGCGCGGAAGAUGUAACGGGGCUAAACCAUGCAC
rnacentral:rRNA from 1 species